rnacentral:tRNA from 1 species
UCCCUGGCAGUCCAGUGGCUAAGAUUCUGCACUUCCAAUGCAGGAGACCCGGAUUUAAUCCCUGGUCAGGGAA